CAAUAGCGUAUAUUAAAGUUGUUGCAGUUAAAAAGCUCGUAGUUGGAUUUCUGGUUGAAGCGACCGGUCGGGCGUUGAUUCGUCUGCACUGGAGUCGGUUUUGGCCAUCCUCUAGGAAAGUGCGUCUGGUAUUAAGUUAUCGGGCGCAUGAUCCUGGUCUUUUACUGUGAAAAAAUUAGAGUGUUUAAAGCAGGCCUUCGCCUUGAAUACAUUAGCAUGGAAUAAUAAGAUAGGACUUUGGUCUAUUUUGUUGGUUUGCAGACCGAAGUAAUGAUUAAUAGGGAUAGUUGGGGGUAUUUAUAUUCCGAUGUCAGAGGUGAAAUUCUUAGAUUUUCGGAAGAUAAACUUAUGCGAAAGCAUUUACCAAGGAUGUUUUCAUUAA
rnacentral:rRNA from 1 species